GACAUUAUCAAGGUCAGUUGGAAAAAAUGAAAGUAAUAAUUUGAAGAAUUUGGAUAGAUAAAAGAAGAUGACGAUGAAGAAGAAGAUUUGGGAAUUUAGGGUUAAAUUUUAGGAGGAAGAUCAAUAUAUAAGACAAUGGGGGAAAAAAAUGACUGUUGGGGGCCAAGUGACGGCAAGUCAGCGAAAUGUGCCAGGACUGACACUAACACAUUUGAUGCCUAUUUUAUUUUACGUCUUUAAAAUGAACAUGUCUACUUGAUGCCUAAUUUAUUUUAGGUGUU
rnacentral:lncRNA from 1 species